rnacentral:tRNA from 1 species
GCCUGGGUGGCUCAGUGGGUUAAGCGUCUGACUUCCGCUCAGGUCAUGAUCUUGCUCGGUUUGCGAGUUCAAGCCCCGCGUCGGGCU